rnacentral:rRNA from 1 species
AGCAGCCAUCAUUUAAAGAAAGCGUAAUAGCUCACUGGUCGAGUCGGCCUGCGCGGAAGAUGUAACGGGGCUAAACCAUGCACCGAAGCUGCGGCAGCGACACUAUGUGUUGUUGGGUAGGGGAGCGUUCUGUAAGCCUGCGAAGGUGUGCUGUGAGGCAUGCUGGAGGUAUCAGAAGUGCGAAUGCUGACAUAAGUAACGAUAAAGCGGGUGAAAAGCCCGCUCGCCGGAAGACCAAGGGUUCCUGUCCAACGUUAAUCGGGGCAGGGUGAGUCG